GACGAACGCUGGCGGCGUGCUUAACACAUGCAAGUCGAACGGAAAGGCCCUGCUUUUGUGGGGUGCUCGAGUGGCGAACGGGUGAGUAACACGUGAGUAACCUGCCCUUGACUUUGGGAUAACUUCAGGAAACUGGGGCUAAUACCGGAUAGGAGCUCCUGCUGCAUGGUGGGGGUUGGAAAGUUUCGGCGGUUGGGGAUGGACUCGCGGCUUAUCAGCUUGUUGGUGGGGUAGUGGCUUACCAAGGCUUUGACGGGUAGCCGGCCUGAGAGGGUGACCGGCCACAUUGGGACUGAGAUACGGCCCAGACUCCUACGGGAGGCAGCAGUGGGGAAUAUUGCACAAUGGGCGGAAGCCUGAUGCAGCAACGCCGCGUGCGGGAUGACGGCUUUCGGGUUGUAAACCGCUUUCGCCGGUGACGAAGCGUGAGUGACGGUAAUGGGUAAAGAAGCACCGGCUAACUACGUG
rnacentral:rRNA from 1 species